CUAUACCAGUCUAAAUUUACAGGAGCUUCUCGUUCACCUUCAGACAGCUGACGGGUGACAUUGUGAACUGAGCACAGUUGAUGUGACCCAUGAAGAAACCAUUGGAUGUGCCUGGACAUUUCUAGUAAUUGGAGUUUGUGGAGAAUUUGUCUGGAGCACCCUGUGGUAGUAAUCCCCUGCAGCAAGUUUUUUGUGUAUACACAUUAAAUGUCAAGACCAAUAUAACUGGAACUUUAACUUUAACUGCAUCGUUGUGAUUCUAGUCCAGAAUCUCAUGGUAAACAUUAAUUGCAGAAGCAACGAAGGAAGCGCCUUGCAAGGGCACGAAACGCGUUAGCAUCUCUUUUCCUUUGCC